ACAUCCAGAGAACUUAGCAGAGAUGCUUUGGUGCCUUCGGGAACUCUGAGACAGGUGCUGCAUGGCUGUCGUCAGCUCGUGUUGUGAAAUGUUGGGUUAAGUCCCGNAACGAGCGCAACCCUUAUCCUUUGUUGCCAGCGGUCCGGCCGGGAACUCAAAGGAGACUGCCAGUGAUAAACUGGAGGAAGGUGGGGAUGACGUCAAGUCAUCAUGGCCCUUACGAGUAGGGCUACACACGUGCUACAAUGGCGCAUACAAAGAGAAGCGACCUCGCGAGAGCAAGCGGACCUCAUAAAGUGCGUCGUAGUCCGGAUUGGAGUCUGCAACUCGACUCCAUGAAGUCGGAAUCGCUAGUAAUCGUAGAUCGGAAUGCUACGGUGAAUACGUUCCCGGGCCUUGUACACACCGCCCGUCACACCAUGGGAGUGGGUUGCAAAAGAAGUAGGUAGCUUAACCUUCGGGAGGGCGCUUACCACUUUGUGAUUCAUGACUGGGGUGAAGUCGUAACAAGGUAGGCGUACGUGU
rnacentral:rRNA from 1 species